AACCUGGCGGCGUGCUUACCAUGCAAGUCGUACGAGAACCGGAACUUCGGUUCCGGGAGUAAAGUGGCGCACGGGUGAGUAACGCGUAGGUAAUCUACCCUUGGGUUUGGAAUAACCCGCCGAAAGGCGGACUAAUACCGGAUAAAAUCUUUCGGAGGGAUCUGAAAGAUCAAAGGUGGCCUCUCCAUGGAUGCUACUGCCUGAGGAUGAGCCUGCGUCCCAUUAGUUUGUUGGUAGGGUAAUGGCCUACCAAGGCUACNAUGGGUAGCUGGUCUGAGAGGAUGACCAGUCACACUGGAACUGGAACACGGUCCAGACUCCUACGGGAGGCAGCAGUGAGGAAUAUUGCGCAAUGGGGGAAACCCUGACGCAGCGACNCCGCGUGGGUGAAGAAGGCCUUCGGGUCGUAAAGCCCUGUCUAGAGGGAAGAAAUUCUCAAUGGAAUAAUACCCAUUGAGAUUGACGGUACCUCUGGAGGAAGCACCGGCUAACUCCGUGCCAGCAGCCGCGGUAAUACGGAGGGUGCGAGCGUUGUUCGGAAUUACUGGGCGUAAAGCGGGUGUAGGCGGUUUGUUAAGUCAGAUGUGAAAGCCCACGGCUCAACCGUGGAAGUGCAUCUGAAACUGGCAGACUUGAGUACCGGAGAGGGAAGUGGAAUUCCUGGUGUAGGGGUGAAAUCCGUAGAUAUCAGGAGGAACACCGGUGGCNAANGCGACUUCCUGGACGGAUACUGAC
rnacentral:rRNA from 1 species